GGAGCUGUGGCUCAGUGGUAGAGUGCUUGCCUGGCACUUGUAAGGCUCUGAGUUCGAUUCUCAGCACCA
rfam:Ictidomys tridecemlineatus contig080199, whole genome shotgun sequence.